rnacentral:rRNA from 1 species
ACUCCUACGGGAGCCAGCAGUGGGGAAUAUUGCACAAUGGGGGAAACCCUGAUGCAGCGACGCCGCGUGAGCGAAGAAGUAUUUCGGUAUGUAAAGCUCUAUCAGCAGGGAAGAAAAAUGACGGUACCUGACUAAGAAGCCCCGGCUAACUACGUGCCAGCAGCCGCGGUAAUAC